UCAGUGAGCACUUGAUGAAUAAAUUAAUAUUGUAACUCAAAAAGAAACAAACAAACAAACAAAAACCCGACAAAAACCAUGACCUCACUUACCCAAAUGGUGUAGAAAAUUAUAAUAUCGAAUAUCAUAGUACAGCUUUUUCUUGUUUAAGAAUCCAUGCCUGCUUAUGGAAGGAUGGCUCAAAAGUACCCACCAUGUAAACUUUAGGACCUAAGUUCAUAUCCCCGCCACAUGUGGGGUCUUGCCCUUGUAAUUCCAGUUCUGGGAGAAGGGACUGGGCAGAGACAGAAUAAUGCUUGGAGCUCAUUGGAUAGUCAACUAGCCAAUCAGUAAACUCUGGUUCAGUGAGCGAGACUCUGUCUCAGAAACUAAGGUGAAAAGUAGCUGAGAAAGACGUCGGGGUUAGACCUCUAACCAUAUGUGUACACAUGCACCAGCACGCACACAUUUACACUCCCACGGGAACACAAACACGCCUACAUCUCACACAUAUGUAUACGUGCAUAUAUAAGAAAAAUAUUGUUGAAGGUGCAUGUCUUAUUAACGGAAGCUUCGUCUGGAGGAGGGAGGUAUUUCUGUUCAGGCCUCAGUGUAAGCCAUUUCCUUAGGGGUCGGGUGGAGAAUUAGGAGUGACGAUCCUCUAACAAGAGCUGAGGAAGCCGAGGAUUGGGAAGAAUACAUCAAAAGACCAGAGAGGAUCCUUUCCUCUUCAACGGAUUUUCUGAAGAGCCCUGUGGGUUGCCAUAGCAACAGCAACACUUUGUAGUCCCGCCCCUUCUCGGCUUUCUACCUGCGGGUGAGGGAGGGCUGGAGGCAUCAGCCUCCUGCCACAGUAGGGUGUCCUCCUUCAGGCUCUUGAGAGCCAGAGCUAGGGGAAGGCUCGAGAGAGACAACAACAGGGGUUGAAGCAGCCAGGGGGUGAGGGAAAGAAACUGAGGGGAUGGGGAGGGACGUACCCUGCCAGGAGGUGAAGGCUAAAGCGUGGGCAGGAGUGACAGAGGAAUAAAGGAGGAAGCUGCUGCCGUUGGCAAAUAAUCACAGCUGGGCCAGCAGUUCUCAGAGCUGAUUAUCCUGUGAUCCCCUGCUUAAUUGAUUUUACACAACCUCCUGACUGCGCAAUUGGGAGCCUGCGACAGGAAAGGCAGUUUUCAAAGGACAGCUGAUUGCUCAAGCGGACACCCCACACAGAAUUGUUUACUGGAGCUUCUAAUGACUUCUUAUUCUCAACCGAGCCAGAAAAUGUCUUCCUAAAGACGAGGUGGAGAGGAUGCCGGGCCUGUGGGUAUCGCUACAGUGCGUAAUGAUCAGUCUUCCUAAUCAAAUCAGCGACUUUAUGGCGAGAUUCCCCGGUUCUGCCCUAACAAUAUGUCACAGAAACGCUAAACGAACAGCCAUUAUUGUCUUCUAGGGAUCUUCUUUCCGUUUAUUCUAAGUCGAACAUAAUUCUAUUUGGUGGUAAUUUUGGCGAGAUUUAAAGAGAGUAGAGGAUUAGGGGUAAUCGUAAAUUAUAUCCAUACCAUUGAUACAUUAGGAAAUCAUGGAGUCAGAAAAAAAUAUUCAAGUUUACCAGCGUUUUCUUUUAGGGAAAACUUACCAGUUCUAUCAAAACCACAGAGAAAAUGUAUCCAAACAAUACCGAGAGUCAAUCACGGUCCAUUGAAAACCAAACGGGAGAAAUAUACAAGCCUGCAGCCACUCCCAGCAAGCACAGCCCCUCAUUACCAGCAACAAGACAGUUAAUUUACUUAGCCACCCGCUGCCAGCAUCAGCCUUUGUCUUCCUCACACCUGCUGCUGCUCCAGCAUGAUGCAUUUAAUAAAUAUGUUUAUAAGCCCGCAAUCUAUUUCUGCACUAUUUUUGCCUGCUUUUACACCAAACUUCAUUCACGGGGAGGAAACAUGGUAUUUGUCCCAUUGGUGGAUGACCUUUCUUACUAUGCUCCUAGAUCUUACAAAGCCUGAGGAUGAGCAUGGUGUUAGCAUUCUGUCUAAGCUCCGCCCUACAGUUACCUGGCAACAGCCAGGUAUGCCGACUCACUAUAAAAGGGGCUGCUUGGCCCCUCUGCUCUCUCUUGCUCCUCCCUUCUUGCUCCCACUCUUCCCCCAUUCCCUUCACUCCCCCUCUCUCCACUUGCUCAAGGCCAGGCCCUGGCUCAUCUCUCUCUCUCUCUCUCUCUCUCUCUCUCUCUCUCUCUCUCUCCCCUUUCUCUCCCUCCCUCCCUCCCCUAAUUCUAUACUAUACUGUCCUGUGGUUGGUCCCUCAGGGGGAUGCGAUGCCUCAGGAUGGGCCCCACCGAGCACGCCCUUACCUCCAUACCUGACUGCACCUCCACAGGACAUAUCCCCCCCUCUCUUUAUCUUUUUAUAAACACAUCACAUCAUUAGCUGCCGAGCCCAGCAGAAGGUGGUGGGGCUGACACCUUUGUGUCAUAGUCAGCAGUGAAACAUCAGGCCAAGGAAAGGGACAAGGACACACGAGUAUCCAGGAAGUCUGCGGCUCCUGCUUCUCCUGACUCUAGAAGGAAGGUGCAGUGCUGCAUAGAGCCUCUGGGCGCCAGGGAAACUGUCACUAUUAGGAAAGGAACUCCCAGUGGCUGGUGCUGCACACAGACCUCCUGUAGCCCACCGCGGAGAGCCGCCGAUGCACUCAGCUAUUCUGAUCAAAAUCUUCUUCGGACCGAAUCUGAUGCCUACACAUGAAGAAGCGCAAUGGAACCCCUGGACCAGCCAGCUAAGGUCCUGGACACUGGAAGAUCACUUGUAUACAACCCACCCGCUUUUCCCAGUUCCUCGUUUACUACAAGCUGUACUGAAUAAAAUAAACAAACGCCCCAGGGCAGACCCAAAAAA